UACGGAGGGUGCAAGCGUUAAUCGGAAUUACUGGGCGUAAAGGGCGCGUAGGCGGUUAUAUGAGUGUGAUGUGAAAGCCCCGGGCUUAACCUGGGAAGUGCAUCGCAAACGAUAUAACUGGAGUAGAUGAGAGGGUGGCGGAAUUUCCGGUGUAGCGGUGAAAUGCGUAGAGAUCGGGAGGAACAUCAGUGGCGAAGGCGGCCAUCUGGGACAACACUGACGCUGAAGCACGAAAGCGUGGGGAGCAAACAGG
rnacentral:rRNA from 1 species